UUUUUUGACAAGAAGUUUAGUGGAGUUUAGUGAAUAGUAAAAGUAAAAGUGGUGAUGAGUUUUUUUUUUUAGCUCAUUGAUGAGAUGAAUUUGUUGUGGCAUAUUUUGUAUGUGAAGAAACUCAAGAAAAUGAUAUGAAGGAGUAAGAAAGUGAUAUAGAGAUAUUGAUGAGUUUUUUAUCAUUAGUGGGAGUGGUCUAAAAAAAUUCCCACUAUAAUUUUGAGGGGUGUUGGAGGUCCCGGCUGCUUAGCUUGUUGUCUCGACUCACACAACUUCCUAUAAAUACAAGUCCAAAUCUUGCCCUUCUCACAAAAACAAAAUAUUUACAGUGUAAUUUUAAAAAAUGGCAACUUCAAAGGCUUAUCUUCUUGUCAUUCUCUGUGUCGCGACUCUUCUCAUUUCUAAUCCGGUUUCAGCUCGUGAGCUGGCUGACCCUCAGUCAACUCAGCACACCCAGUCCGUGGAGGAAUCCAAGGACGAAUAUGAUGGUUCAUCACCUUAUGGUUCCUACGGUGGCUGAUCGCCUUAUGGUUCUUACGGUGGUAGUCCUUCAGACGGUGGCGCGAUAGGUUAUGUGCCUUAUCUCCCCCCAAAUUAAGGACACAAAAGAAAAGCUUGUUGAGAAAAGCCCUAAAUAAAUCUAGUACGUGGUACGAAUUAUGUCAUCAAAAGUCAAGCGAAACAUGUUUUCGCUCUUUAAAUAUGUGUGUAUCUAUUAAGUAAUUUUUUUUUUUUUUGAAAUAUAUCUAUUAAGUAAAUUCAUUACGAAUAAAUUUGAAAAGAUAAAGGAAUUGAAGUGCUCAA